GAAGAAGCUGGGACGUGUAGAUUCGGUUGCUGGACAAAUGGAAAUCGUGGAGGCGUUGGUUUGCUCGGUAUUCAAAGGGCGCUGGCGUGGAGUGGCAGGCAGCAGCACGUGAAGAGAUGGGAGCUCGGUGGUUAAACGGAAGCUGUUUCAUGGCUUCGGUGGUCUUCAACUGGCGUUGAAUUUCGGUGGAGAAGAGGGAUGGAGCUUCGGACGUGAGAUGGCAGAGGGUUCAAUGAGAGAGAGAGAGAGAGAGAGAGAGAGAGAGAGAGAGAGAGAGAGAGGAAGUGGUGGAGCUGCAGUCUCGUGGAUUGAAGGACGCUCGGCAAGAGGAGUCAACAACCAAAAUAGGCCAAGGAAGUUUGACUCAGUGGAGGCUUCGUUCGUGGGCUUCUGUGGCUGUGAGGAAGAGAGUGAGUGGAGAAAUUGGUGGACGUUGGAUGAUGGAUUGGUGAUGAUGAUGGGAAGAGGCGUGAGGAAUAAAUGAAAAUGGGGAUGAGGUAGAAAGCAAAUAAUGAAAACGAGACCAAAAGCAGAAG
rnacentral:lncRNA from 1 species